UACUUCGGUUUCGCGAGGGCCGUAUUGCUCUC
rnacentral:sRNA from 1 species